AGUAAUGUCUGGGAAACUGCCUGAUGGAGGGGGAUAACUACUGGAAACGGUAGCUAAUACCGCAUAGCGUCUUCGGACCAAAGUGGGGGACCUUCGGGCCUCACGCCAUCGGAUGUGCCCAGAUGGGAUUAGCUAGUAGGUGGGGUAAUGGCUCACCUAGGCGACGAUCCCUAGCUGGUCUGAGAGGAUGACCAGCCACACUGGAACUGAGACACGGUCCAG
rnacentral:rRNA from 1 species